GGGGUUUUGUUACGGGAUUACGGGGGCGUGGCCUGUAUCCGAUCAUACUCCGACUACGCUGGUUACAUGGUAGAGAAAAUCGAAUUCCAAUCUCAUUAUCUGGGUGUCUUAAUCAGAGUUCUUAAACUCUGAUUAUAGUCGGACUAAGGUGUUUACAUGACCUUCAGUUGUCCGGUCUGAAUCGGAAUAUGGCGAUAAUUCGGUUUUCUUGAGUGUCAUGGAAACGGACUGAAUG